AUUACUCUAAUUUAAUUUUCUGAUAACAACAAACAUAUGUAUAAAGAUUGAUAUAUUAAAUCUUUCAGUGAGUUAAUUAUGAUAGGGAUGAUUUUGGUGUUUUUCUUAGUA